CCUACGGGAGGCAGCAGUGAGGAAUAUUGGUCAAUGGACGCAAGUCUGAACCAGCCAUGCCGCGUGCAGGAAGACGGCUCUAGGAGUUGUAAACUGCUUUUGUACGGGGGUAAACGCAGGUACGUGUAUCUGUUUGAAUGUACCGUAUGAAUAAGGAUCGGCUAACUCCGUGCCAGCAGCCGCGGUAAUACGGAGGAUUCAAGCGUUAUCCGGAUUUAGUGGGUUUAAAGGGAGCGUAGGCGGUUGGAUAAGUUAGAGGUGAAAUCCCGAGGCUCAACCGCAGAAUUGCAUUUGAUACUGGUCGACUUGAGUGUAGUUGAGGUAGGCGGAAUGCGUGGUGUAGCGGUGAAAUGCUUAGAGAUCACGCAGAACACCGAUUGCGAAGGCAGCUUACUAAGCUGCUACUGACGUUGAGGCUCGAAAGCGUGGGGAGCAAACAGGAUUAGAUACCCUAGUAGUC
rnacentral:rRNA from 1 species